ensembl:lncRNA
UAGCUGUGGUAUAAGUGGAAUAAUUGACACUGGUCAGUUAAAUUAUUGGAAAAUAAUGCACACGUUAUGCAUUAUUUUUUAAUAAUUCAACGGCACGUCAUCAAUUAAUCCUUACAUAAACUAAUGAUAGAUUUUGUCUUUAAAUGUGUGUUCAAUUAUAGUUUGUUUCAAAUGCAUAUACUAGCACUUUGAGAUAAUCAUUUCCUGUCACUUGCAUAACUUUUAUACUUAAGAUAAAAUGAUUGCACAGGUAAUUUUUUUUUUUCAAUGGAGACAAAAAGAGCAACAACCAGAACAGGAAAAAUCAAACGGGUCAUCAGGCUUAAGUUGUCGUGUUGUAUGAUUUAAGAUGGAUCCUCCAAAUUUUAUGAAUGUGUUAAAAUUGCUGUCCAAAUCUAAUAUUAAGUUAGCUGGUCCACUCCUAGCUUUGUUAGUGGGUUUUCAGAUAUUAAUGGAUGGACAGUUCUCAUGCCCAUGCCUUGUUGGGCGGAAUACAGCUAUAUCAGUUUAAUCUUUAAAUUUUUUUUUUUUGGACUUGUUCUCAUUGUUAUUGAUAUAAUGCUCCCAUUUUUCAAGCUUAGAGCACAGGGCACAAGUGGAACAUCUCAAGCACGGGACAAGUGUGGAACUGAGUGGAAUUGUACAACAGUUGUGAUUUGUCUGGUUCCAUUUGUGGUGUGGUUAUGUUUAUGUUUAAUUGAUGGUGAUUAUAUUGCCUGUGAAGCGACAGACUGGAAUGGAAAGUAUGCCUGUGAUAAAUGAACUACACCAAGGAAGAAAUGAGACUGAACUAUAUAACUACACACGAAUAUGGAUUACUACAGUAUAUCAAAGGUAGAUAUCACAGGAUUCUCAGCCCAUGCACUUUCUUAUACUGUACAUGUAACAAGUUUAAGACUGCAUUGCUAUUUUUAUUGCUUUACAAAUAUUUAAGAAUUUCCUGAACAUAGCUAUAAACCCAUAUAAUGAGUAUUUGCAUGAUUCCAGCACAAACACAAUGCAGAGAGCUUUUUGAUUCCCCUGGUAUUCACAUUAAAUGAAUAGAAGUGAUAUGUCUUCAACAUAAUUUGAGGUGAAAGAAGAAACAUUCUGUUCUUCUGAAUAAACAGUUACUCC